UGAACUUGUACAACAUAAGGAGCAGCCUC
rnacentral:piRNA from 1 species